UACGUAGGGGGGCAAGCGUUGUCCGGAAUCAUUGGGCGUAAAGCGCGUGUAGGCGGCUCGGUAAGUCCGCUCUGAAAGUCCGGGGCUCAACCCCGGGAGGCGGGUGGAUACUGUCGAGCUCGAGUCCGGAAGAGGCGAGUGGAAUUCCUGGUGUAGCGGUGAAAUGCGCAGAUAUCAGGAGGAACACCGAUGGCGAAGGCAGCUCUCUGGGACGGUACUGACGCUGAGACGCGAAAGCGUGGGAGCGAACAGG
rnacentral:rRNA from 1 species